GUCUACAGCCAUACCACCCUGAAUGCGCCCGAUCUCAUCUGAUCUCGGACGCUAAGCAGGGCCUGGCCUGGUUAGAACUUGGAUGGGAGAAAUGGCCAGUGUUGCGGCUU
ensembl:rRNA 5S_rRNA 5S ribosomal RNA